rnacentral:hammerhead_ribozyme from 1 species
AUCCAGCUGACGAGUCCCAAAUAGGACGAAAGCGCGUCCUGGAU